rnacentral:rRNA from 1 species
GAUGAACGCUGGCGGCGUGCUUAACACAUGCAAGUCGAACGAAGCACCUUAUUCUGAUUUCUUCGGAAUGAAAAAUUUGGUGACUGAGUGGCGGACGGGUGAGUAACGCGUGGGUAACCUGCCUCAUACAGGGGGAUAACAGUUAGAAAUGACUGCUAAUACCGCAUAAGACCACAGCACCGCAUGGUGCAGGGGUAAAAGCUCCGGUGGUAUGAGAUGGACCCGCGUCUGAUUAGGUAGUUGGUGGGGUAACGGCCUACCAAGCCGACGAUCAGUAGCCGACCUGAGAGGGUGACCGGCCACAUUGGGACUGAGACACGGCCCAAACUCCUACGGGAGGCAGCAGUGGGGAAUAUUGCACAAUGGGGGAAACCCUGAUGCAGCGACGCCGCGUGAGCGAUGAAGUAUUUCGGUAUGUAAAGCUCUAUCAGCAGGGAAGAAAAUGACGGUACCUGACUAAGAAGCACCGGCUAAAUACGUGCCAGCAGCCGCGGUAAUACGUAUGGUGCAAGCGUUAUCCGGAUUUACUGGGUGUAAAGGGAGCGUAGACGGAGUGGCAAGUCUGAUGUGAAAACCCGGGGCUCAACCCCGGGACUGCAUUGGAAACUGUCAAUCUAGAGUACCGGAGAGGUAAGCGGAAUUCCUAGUGUAGCGGUGAAAUGCGUAGAUAUUAGGAGGAACACCAGUGGCGAAGGCGGCUUACUGGACG